rnacentral:rRNA from 1 species
UAUCUCUGUAGAGUCUGCAUAUCAAUAAGCGGAGGAAAAGAAACUAACUAGGAUUCCCUCAGUAACGGCGAGUGAAGCGGGAAGAGCUCAAAUUUGAAAUCUUCAAGGUUCUACCUUGACGAAUUGUAGUUUAAAGAAGUGUUUUCUGUUGGAGUUUUGGUAAAAGUUCUUUGGAAUAGGACAUCAUAGAGGGUGAGGAAUCCCGUAUUUGACCAUUUACUUUCAGCUUUGUGAUACACUUUCAAAGAGUCGGAUUGUUUGGGAAUGCAGUCCAAAAUGAGUGGUAAAUUUCAUCUAAAGCUAAAUACUUGGCGAGAGACCGAUAGCGAACAAGUACCGUGAGGGAAAGAUGAAAAGAACUUUGAAAAGAGAGUUAAACAGUACGUGAAAUUGUCAAAAGGGAAGCGUUUGACACCAGUGUUGUUUUCUCGAAAAUCAAUUAAAAAAAGUUGGAUUUUGUAUUGUUAAGACCUUAUCAGCUUACUGUACUCUUUUCUUGCUUUUUUUAAUGCACUUUUCGUUUAACAAGUCAACAUCAAUUUCUUUUGUUGUAAAAGAGUCAUUGGAAGGUGGCUUUCACUUCGGUGAAAGUGUUUAUAGCCUUUGGCCUUCUGCAAUCGGAGAGAUUGAGGUCUGCAGCGUAGAUCCUUCGGGGUUAGAUACAUUUGUGCUAAGUUAUAGCCUUUCAUAGACAACUUGUUGACUAUGAUCAGUCAUGUAGCUUACUCGCUUAUGCUAUUUUACCUACGCUUAGGAUGUUGACGAUCAGCUGAGCGCG